CCCCUAUCUUAUGUUGCCAGCACGUUAUGGUGGGGACUCGUAAGAGACUGCCGGGGUCAACUCGGAGGAAGGUGGGGACGACGUCAAGUCAUCAUGCCCCUUAUGUCCAGGGCUUCACACAUGCUACAAUGGCCAGUACAGAGGGCUGCGAGACCGUGAGGUGGAGCGAAUCCCUUAAAGCUGGUCUCAGUUCGGAUCGGGGUCUGCAACUCGACCCCGUGAAGUCGGAGUCGCUAGUAAUCGCAGAUCAGCAACGCUGCGGUGAAUACGUUCCCGGGCCUU
rnacentral:rRNA from 1 species